AUGGCGACGUCACCAUGCCGCGCGUCCCUCGUCUUCCUCCUCCUCGUGCUGCUCGUGCACUGGCACGGCGCGACCGCCGCCGACGAGAGGCAGCUUCUCAUCCAUAUCCAGCACGUGUGGGGCGACCCGCCGGUGCUCGCGGCGUGGAACAACGGCUCGGGCUCGGGCGACCACUGCUCCUGGCCCUACGUGACCUGUGACGCUCCGUCCGGGCGCGUCGUGAGACUCUCCCUCGGCAACACCAACAUCAGGGGGCCCUUCCCAGAAGCCAUCGGCGGCCUCUCCGGCCUCACAAGCCUCAACCUCUCCUACACCAACAUCACCGGCGCCUUCCCGACUAGCGUGUACCGAUGCCCUUCUCUGCGGCACCUCGAUCUGUCCGAAACCUACCUCGGCGGCGAGCUCCCCGCCCGCAUCGGCCACGCGCUCGGGGAGAACCUUACCUCUCUGAUGCUCAACGGCAAUUACUUCACCGGUACCAUCCCCACCUCCUUGUCCCGGUUACGGAACCUGCAGUCGCUGGCGCUGGACAACAACUAUCUCACCGGCACCAUACCGGCAGAGCUUGGUGGCCUGAUGGGCCUCGAGAUGCUUUGGCUCGCGAACAACUCGUUCAGCACCGGUGAGCUUCCGGCGUCGUUCAAGAGCCUGACCAGGCUGAAAUCUUUCUGGGCGGCAAAUUGCAACCUCACCGGCGACUUCCCGGGCUAUGUGACGGAGAUGCCGGAGUUGGAGGUGCUCGACCUCUCCGUCAACCACUUGACCGGAAGUAUACCUCCGGGCAUCUGGAACCUCACCAAGUUGAGACUUCUAGCUAUAUAUGCAAACAACCUCACCAGAGAGGUCGUCGUCGAUGGUGAUUUCGGCGCGCUGAAUUUGGUUAUGAUCGACCUGUCGACGAAUCAGAGGCUAAGUGGGCCGAUUCCGGAAGUCUUCGGUCACUUGCCGAAGCUGCAAAAACUGAGCUUGUUUAACAGCAGCUUCUCGGGUGAGAUUCCGGCGAGCUUGAGUAAAUUGCAAAAAACCACUAUAAUUGGGGACCUUGAUUCACAAAACCACCAGCAUUCAUUUUUUUUUCAAAAAACAUCCGGCAUUCAGUAA
rnacentral:rRNA from 1 species